CCCUUAGAUGUUCUGGGCUGCACGCGUGUUACAAUCGGGAGUACAACAAGAUUGCAAAUCCUAGUGGAUGAGUGGUUCUUCGAAAUUUUCUGAAGACUGGGAUAGUUGAUUGAAAUUAUUCAACUCAAACGAGGAAUUCCUUGUAAUUGUAAUUCAUUAUAUUGUAAUGAAUACGUCCCUGCCCUUUGUACACACCGCCCGUCGCUCCUACCGAUUGAACGAUCCGGCGAAUUAUUUGGAGUAGCUCUGGAAGUUGCAGAACUUCCUAUGUCACGAAAUUUUGUAAACCUUAUCGUUUAGAGGAGGGAAAAGUCGUAACA
rnacentral:rRNA from 1 species